CCAAGAUUACAUUUUAUUGGUAUUUUAAAUGCUUCGUGGUGUGUUUGUCGUUGUUGUUACUUCCUGCUCAUUAAAAUCAGCAGAUACGUCCAGAUUAGAAUUUGGUAGAAAUUCAGCCAGGAAUUGUUGGCUUUCACAUCGGUGUUCUGUGACCAACCUGCUAGUUUUGUGACCGAGAGCUAGCCCACCAACAGGAUCAUCUGAGAGCGUCUCUUUGUAACUGCCGUGAUGCCACAAGCAGAAAGCUGAGUAGACUUCCCAUCAAGCUCACUUAGGGCAGUUUCGCACUGAGAUUAUGAUGAUGUGCUAAGAAUUGCCUUUGACAGUGUAGUCCUUUCACAAAACGCUGUCUGAAGCAGGGAGAUUAAAUACAGGUUUGCGUUUGCUAAUGCCUCUUCAGAGCAAAGCCAGUAGGUUGAUGCAAUGUGUUUUGUAACAGACUGAUUUGAAAAAUUUAGACAUGUUGUGUGCUCAAACUCUUCAGGCAAGCACGUGUUCUUGGGGAAUGAGGAAGUUGCUGUUUUAAAGAAAAAUACAUCCUGGCACUGCAAGCUUUGGUGCUUUCAACAUGCUACUAAAUGCAGGCUAUUGUGUUUAGAUUUGAAAGCUACUGUUUCUAUUUCAGGUCCAAAGAAAGGCUCUGUUCUUGAGAUGUUGUCUCAUUGUUUCAAGCUAUACCAGUUAGACUAAUGAGAGGUUAUUCCUUUACCUAGAAGCUGUCUCACCUGUUCCCUAGGCUAGUAGAAAUACCACUACCUCUAUCAGCGAUUAUUUUAGCAUUGCAGUGUUUAAUGUGCAUUUUUCAGACUUGCAAUUUGUAUGUAAUUUUUCUGCUAGAGAACACCAAAUGCUACGUUUCUGAUCUACAAAGUAAUUUUGGAUGUGUCAAACUGCACUUGGAUGGAAAUUAAAACAGUACUUAACAUCUUUGUAACUAGAGCAGUUGAUUCAGAAUAUAAUUAUUUUGAUACAUUUCUUAGACAUAGUCAUAGUUUCUUAGACAAUGUAGUGUGCAUGUCUGAGAUGUGCAGCCAGCUUGAAACCAUUUUUCUCUUUUUACACCAUUUACUCUAGUGUAGAAAGCCAUAAAGAUAAUUCAUCAUCUCUCAGACUGAGUUAACUAGCCCUGUGAGUGAAAUGGAGAAGUUCUUUAGGUACUUAAACGGAUCCAGUGUGUUCAUCCACCAGCACAGUUCAGUGCUUUGGCCAAUGCUAUUGCAUCCAUGUUCUUUUCAGCACAGGUUUUGUAGUGAGUUGUCACAUGAAAAAUUACUCUAAAUGGAUUUGUUUAAAAUACCGUAUAUCUAAGCAAGCAUUAUCUCGGAGUAUAAUUCUUCAAAUAAAACAAGUUUACAGUUGUCCUAUUACAGACUUUUCAGACAUACAGUAGCAUCCCAUAGACUCUUUCUCAGAGGUGCAGUCCCAUUUUUGAAAGUAUCUAGUUCAUCCUUACCCUAGAAAGUUUUUAGGUCACUUCAUUCCUCUAUUAAUUUGUGAAUAACUGAGAAAAGAUUAGCCAGAUAAAAAUAUUUGACCAGACUUUGGUAACUGAAGUGCUGUAGAAAUAACUUGAGUGUCCUCUCUCUGACUGCCUGGAACCAGAUGCCUUAGGAAAGGACAGGACAGGCAUGUGUGAUGAUGCUGCAUGUUGGUACUUUCCACUUUGCAUCUGCAAAUUCACAGAGCUCCUGAGCCAACUGUGGUUUUCUGUGUGCACCAUGAAUGUGGCCACACUGCUUUCUACUGCAGUAAAGAUUUAAACCAAUGCUGUGUAUUGGUUUAAAUAAAGAUUUGCCAGAAACUUUACAACAUUUCACUGCGUGCUAUUUAUAAAGCUUUCUUUAUAAAGUAAACAACAUACAGACAGGCUUUGCUUUUCACUUAGCUCUAAGAGCUUGAUCUUCAUGUAUUUUUUGUUGUUUUCAAAACCAGAAAGUGGGUAUUUUUCCCUCUACUCUAAAGUAUUUGGGUAGUUGCUGAUUAACAGGCAGAAUAAAUUAAUCUGACUUUCAGUGAGUUCUGCUCAACCUUCUUUUUAGUUCUGUUGUUCCCAAAUAAUUCUACUUAAAAAAAAAAAAAAGGAACCAAGGAAUUAGAUUAGUAGGUUAGAACACAGCAGGUUCUAAAAUACCUAGCAUUAGUUGAACUUGUCAGUCAUUUUAUUGUACUUAACGAUGGUGUUCUUCUGCAGCGCUGAAAGUAGAGGUAUAGAGAGUGUACCUUCCUCGGUGCCUACCUUGAUAAGCUCUGUAAAAUACUUCUGAAAGAGUAAUGAGUUUUCUGUCUUUUUCCAGUGAAAUAGAUGCUGUACUUGUCAUCUCUUUGCCCUGCCUCUGUGCUCCUCUCUGCAGGAUGUUUAGGCUCAGAAGAAGACCAUGUAAAUACAAACAGAAUGCAGUUACAUUGUUGGAACUGGAAAAUGAGUUAAUACACACUUACACUAUAAGAAGGGUUAUGAAAGGAAUAAAGAAAGGUUAGGAGAAAAAAAAAAAAGAGUAUUUUCCCCAUGUAAUAAAGAAAUAUGUUCUUUUCCUUGUAAGAAGAGGCACACAUUGAGCAGAGAGAAAUAGAAAACCUUAGAUUUCUGUAGCAGAGAAUAUUGCUUGUCAGCCCAAAAUGUGUGAAUACCUUAAGGGCAAAUGGUAGCUGAACACAUAUGGUUGAUGUGGCAUGUUUUAAGGAAACUUUAAUUUUAGCAAGAACUCUUAGUAGUCAAGAUGAAU